CCAUCUACCUGGGGUGGGCUGAGAUCCAGAGAACUGCCUGUGGGGGAUGGAAAGGGGAACAGGUAGCCCCCACCUAAGCUCACAGUCAGCUUCUUCCAGCCUUUUCUUGCUCCAUGGGUCCUGUCUCCCUCAGAAGAAAAAUCACACCACUAGCAGUGCCAGAGUUUAACUCAUUCGCCCAAAGUCGUGCAAGUUACUAAUAAAGGCCAGGGUUUGAACUCGUA